UGGCUCAGUGGUAGAGUACUUGCCUAGCAUGCAUGAAGCCUUGGGUUCAAUCCCCUG
rnacentral:tRNA from 1 species